rnacentral:rRNA from 1 species
UACGAAGGGGGCUCGCGUUGUUCGGAAUUACUGGGCGUAAAGCGCGCGCAGGCGGUCUUCCAAGUCAGUGGUGAAAGCCCGGAGCUCAACUCCGGCACUGCCAUUGAAACUGUAAGACUUGAGGAUGAGAGAGGUGAGUGGAAUUCCCAGUGUAGAGGUGAAAUGCGGAGAUAGUGGGAAGAACACCGGUGGCGAAGGCGGCUCACUGGCUCAUAUCUGACGCUCAGGCGCGACAGCGUGGGGAUCAAACAGG